rnacentral:lncRNA from 1 species
CAGGUGCGCCAACUCUGAUUCCUCAGAUGAAGCACGUUGGCGCGAAAGGUUGGCGCGCAAAGGCGCGCGGAAAAGGGAACCAUAUUCAGCCAGCCGCCUGGUCAGGCCACCGCGUGUCAUCAGCUAUGGUUAGUCGAGGUGUCGCCUGAUGCGGUGGCACAAGUGGUUGACAGCUACACCAACAUACCACACCACAAUGGCAGGCGGCUGGCAGAGGUUAAGGCCUGACUUCUGCUCCCAGUCGACCCAGUCGACCCGGGUUCAAAUCCGCCUGCCGGCUCCUCGGGGGUUUGAGGAGUGAUGAAAUGGGCGAGGGGGUUUGAGGAGUGAUGAAAUGGGCGAGCUGACCAGGAACUAAGUUGAUGCGCCGUUGAUCCGCUAGAUUUGGUUGGAUGCUGGUGGUGAGUUGCUGAACCCAACGAAUACAUUCUGAAGUCGGAUGGGGUGACGGAUUAGGGUGCCCCUCUAGCAGGGGAGAGCAGGGACUGCCCCGGGAAAGGGGGCCGCUGGCGAAGUUAACCACCCUGUAACAACAUACAUAUUGCAAGCCCAGACCGUGCUGACACUCCUAAGCCUGUCAGCUGGACCAGCUCGACACUUUGCCCCCAUUUCCGACGCAAAGGCUCUUUAGGUCAUUAAGCCCCAAAGAUCAAAUCACCUUUUAGAUUCCCUUUUUGAGAUAUAGGGGUCCCCUGUAAAUGGUCUGCUGCAAAAAAGCAACACGUGCCCUGUAAAACAACAGUGACCUGCCCUACCAGCCGCAGACCUUCUGUAUACCUGUAGACUGUAGACCUGUUGUACAAUGCAGCACGCACACACACACACACACACACACACAUCAGUAGGGGUGCAGCAGUGCGUGUGGGACGUGGUCAGCCUCGCAGCACUGCCCGCCAGAAGGAACAUGCACGGGUGGGACCGCGGGCGGCAACCCCCGCAAUCCACACCCCGCACCCGAGGCCCCAGCAGCUCCGGGGCUGGAGGCGGUGCUCGGCUUCUGGCAGCAGGUUUAGGACUUUGCAGAACUCGGCGUGCCCCAGCACGGCUGGCACAGCGUGGGCCCCGACCAUUCCAUCCUAUCAGUGGUGGACGGGCGCCUGCGUUGAGUACAGCCAGUAGGGCUGGGAGAGGAAGGGGCAGGGGGAUAAAAAGGGAUGCUAGGAGGAACCCGGUAGAUGGGCUAUCCCGCUGGUGGGGGGGGAUAGGCCUGAGGGUUUCUCUUUGUUGGUCUGGGUCGGGGGCUUUUCGAGGGAGAAGGCUCGCCUCGCCACAGGUUGGGCCAGGCAGCUUCAGUGAGAGGUUUUUUGAGAGGUCGUUGCUGUAGGGCUUGGGAGGAGUGGCAGGCGAACGGGGUGGCUGUAGCGCAGGCUGGGUGACGCUGUGUGAGCUGUGCCUCGAGUGGUGUGGUGCUGCCUCGAGGUGAGCGGCCGUUGUAUCCGAUAUAGUACAGAGAUACAGUCACACCGUUAAUAUGAGUUCCUUGAAUAUUCCGUUCUCACGUGCUUUGGAAAUUUUGAUGUGAAUUUGAAGUUCAACGCACAAAUUAAGGUGAAGGUUGUGCCGAGAGUUGCUUACGCGCCGUUGGGAUCCAAGUCGACGACCGUUGAGCAGUAGCCGCGCAUAGCCAGCUGCGAUAACGAUUGUAAAUUAAUAUUCAACGCUCAUGGAAAUGGCAGCAUCUGUCACUAUUUUAUUAUACGAAACAUGUUCUUUAUUGGCUCGAUCACGGUGGUUCGGUAGUAAAGGAGUUUCAGGUUUGGAAAAUCCUGAAACCCGCUUAUUACGGGUUAAGAAUGCACGUUUAGGGAACAUAUGUUUGAUUAUUUUAAGAUAAAAAAAAUGCUUGAUUUUAUCUGCAUCAAGCGUUUGUGACCAAAGCCCACCAUUGGUGGUCGGGCACCGAUUUACACCGACCGAGUACGUCUCUGAAACCUGCUCGUCGGGCCUUACAACUUGCGGUACAUUUAAGUAUAGCACUUCCUAGAAAAAAUCAGAAAGUAUUUACUGAAUAAAACUUGUUGGACCGGCUCGCGUCGCCUCCACGGUAAGUCGGUCUAUUGCUCUCAGCUCUUCCUCCGGUACUGCUUUCCUUAAGCAGGAGGCUGGAACUAUAGCGAGGAGGCGCGCCACAUGCCUUGCAACUCUAAAAAUGUUUUUUCAUGUACUAUUUUGCGAAAAUGGCCACCUGAGUAAAAAAUCUGAUUUCAAUGCCCCUGUAGAGCCUCCUCUGGCUAGGAGCCGCUUGGAGCGUCUCGGGAGUCCACCGACUCGCGAGUUUCAACAGUGAAAGCCAAAGCUUCAGUAUCGCCACCUUCAUCGUUAUCGUUGUCGUCAUCAUCUUCAUGGUCAUGUUACCAAUGACGCUGGCAGUCCACGUCGCCCGAAAGGAACGCGCGCUUCUGUCACCGUCGAACAACCUGCACCGCCAACAGCUGCCGCUAUUCUCCUGCCUCGCAACCGUGGCAAUGCUCCGCCUGAUCCCCUACCUACUGCUGCUGUUGCUGGCGCUGCCCGGUGGCACCCUCGCACAGACUGUCCCGGGCUGCGGCUCAAGCGCCUUCAUCUAUCGCAACGGGGUCCCUGCAAAUUCGAUCGACGUGAUGUUCCGAGAUUCCCAGACAGGGGAAUCUGUUGGUUGGGGUUAUAUUGCUAUGAACUUAAGCGCAUUGACUCUACCAGAGCCCAUCGCGACCGACCAAACGGUACCCGGAACUAUAAAUAUCGCAGUGAAACUGGGGGCCUUUGUCGGAAGCAUUCAGGGCAGCGUUCAAACCGAGUCCAUGUUUCAGUCUAAUUACCCCGGCGGCGGCGCUAGUUGUUCUGGUGACUCUAAUUCCUAUAUUUCAUUCCCCAUGGACAUGCCGCAAAAUGUGGUAUUCGCCUCGACGAUGGACUACAAUGGACUCCUCACCGGCAUUCUGACAAAUCCGAUCCUCGGAAUCCCGCAAUGUCAGCCAAUUGUACUCUACCUCCUUGCGAAGUUCACAGACAAAAAUAAUUCGUCUCGUUCCGCCUACCUGGCCACGGACUGGGUGUCAGCAGGCAAUGCCUCUGACCCGGUGUGCGCCAACUCACCUACGUCCUGGGGCUAUAUUAAGGCGGAGUUUGGCGUCUGCAACUGCCCGCCAUCCCCACCACUCCUACCACCAUCACCCAACCCCCCAAUGCCGCCCUCACCUUCGCCACCUUCACCAAGCCCUCCAUCACCCUUGCCACCUAGGCCGCCAUUCCCAUUACCACCACCACCUCCACCACCACCGCCACCAAGAGUGUCACCAUCACCACCACCGUCCCCCUCCCCGCCACCACCUUUGCCGCCACCCUCUCCACCUCCACAACCCCCGCCUUCGGUCCCCUCCCCCCCUCCCCCUCCGCCAUCCCCGGCACCCCCGCUGCCUCCCCCCCCAUCCCCUCCUCCUUCACCACCUCCUUCACCUUUACCCCCACCUCCCUUACCGCCGUCCCCACCACCACCUUCUCCACCACCGCCACCCCUGCCACCCCCGCCUCCCCCCCCAUCCCCUCCUCCUCAGCCGCCCCCUCCUCGCCCACUCAGUCCCCCUCCCCUGCCACCCUCGCCAUCCCCUCCCCCCCCACUUUCCCCUUCUCCACCACCACCACCCCGCCCGCCCCCACCGGCACCUAAGGCUCCUAGGUCUCCCCGAGCCCCCAAACCCCCCAAAGUCCCCAAGGCACCCCAGCCUCCACCUCGACCCGCAAACAACCUGCUCGUCAACAAGUUCCCCUUCUCGUCCUGCAGCGCUAGUGACGUCAGCCUCACACCGUACCGGAUGACGUCACCCAUGGGGCCGUUCAACGUAACCGCCACCGCCGCCACCUACUGCUUCCGGAUCUCCGCCUCAGCAACAGUGGACAGCACCAGCCCAUGUGCGAGAAUGGUCAUCAAUGAGCUUCAAAUCGUCAUCGGUGAGUAGCUAUAUGCUACCUAGCUACCUAGCUACUUAGCUACCCAAGCUACCUAGCUGGUCGUGAUCAUCGUGGUGACCUCCAUGCACCUCAUCAGUUGUGCGCUCAACAUGCAUGUAUGUGUGUGGUGUGUGUAGGGGUCCCUCACUCCGCACACCGCCUUCAUCCGCUCACGGCUCACCCAGCUGCAGGGAGCUUUAUUUCCCCUCCAAUAUUAAUCAAGAUAAUCAACACCGACUCCGCCCUGUUUCCCCCCCGACCCCAAACACCCUCCCCGGCCUACAUGGUUCACCGCAGACCCCAGCUGCGUGGAGUCCUUCCCCAACUCCUUCAGGGUCACCACCGUCAACAGUGUGACGGUGUCCCCCGUCUACAGCUACAGGACAUGGCGGGAGCAGACGUACGGUGUGAUGACGAUCACGUCCCUGGCGAGUACCUUCCCCGUAACCCCCGCUGGCGGCCUGUAUGUAUGUCUGGCCAUGAGUCGAAACAGCAGGUGUGGCACUCCGGCGGGGCUGUGCUACGGAAACAGCUGCGCGUACUCGCUGCUCAAUGCGGACAACAGCUGCUGCCCCGCCAGCCAGGUGCCGUACUAAUAGGUGGAAGGUUCCUGCAGUAUUGACGACUAUGCGAAGCAUGGCAUAAGUAGCCCUUGAUGCAGAGAUGGCUUGGCCGGAGAGGAUAGGCUAAGUUAAGUACCAAUGAUACAAAAUAUAGGCGUAUUAUCCCCAUGACUUGUCAUGUUGAUGUGUUCAUAUCACAUGUGUAUUAUCAAAGCCAUUGUUAAGGAUGAGGAUUAUGUUGUCGCAAGGGGUACGAGUUCGAAUGUCACGAACUUCGAAAAGCUCCGAAAAUAGAGAUCAUCACGAAAAAAUUUGUCCACAACUUCUUGCACGAGGUUCCUUCUUGCACGAGGUUCCUAGGUCGGCGCCGAUUUGCCCCUGGCCCUGUGCUGCCACGAUUAAAUUCACUGGCAUAGAUGUAUGUGCGCCACGUCAGGGUGCUUGAUGGCGGGUUGGUUGGAUAUCCAACCACAUAUGGCAGUGGACGGUUUUAGGCGAAGACUCGCAGCCCGGAUAGGGGCCGCAGGGUUCUUCAUAUACCUGCGAGAAAAUAACGUGUGAUAACCAAUAGCGCAGCCUACCGAGCCCCCACCCUCCCAACCCCUUCAUCAUCGGUCCCCUCCAAUCACGACGGGAUCCAUGUCCUGGAGUGAUAAACCUUUUAACAUGUUUUUUCAACAUGUUUUUCAAUGUUGCUUCGUCUCAUGAUGGUUUCCGUCCCGGUUCUAAGGCACGUGUGUGAGCAUGUGUGUGUGUGUGUGCACCAAGCUUAUUACCGCCAUCAUCACACUGCAUCACGCCGCCGUGGCAACGUGUGCAAUCGCCUCAAAAGUAUCUACGACCUGUAACAGCGGUUUGCGCUGCUCGGGGUCCCGCCACCCGGACGGAAACCAUCAUGAGACGAAGCAACAUUGAAAAACAUGUUGAAAAACAUGUUAAAAGGUUUAUCACUCCAGGACAUGGACCCCGUCGUGAUUGAGGGGACCGAUGAUGAAGGGGUCGGGAGGGUGGGGGCUCGGUAGGCACGUAAUAUCAUAAUAUCAUAAUAAUAUCAUAAUAUUUCAUUAGAACCGUUGCUAGUGUUUCAACUCUUGCUCUGGUUUGAUGGCGAAUGUAAUUAUCAUCCUCAUAGUCUGUAAUUACGUGAGCUUAUCUUCAGCAGCAGAAGAGUCCCUCGCUGAGUGAAGCUCUACCAACUGGCCGAUUACGCGGGACAGUUGAUGUAUGAUCGUCGUACAGGCAAUGAGGAUCGCUUAGCAGAUACCAAGUGGAAGAGGAUAGAGUCCACACCAAAUGGGAUGCCAAAUCGUUACACGAUUGGGAAGAGCGAAUUAAUAAGCCAUCUUAAGCAUACAACAGUUGCGCAGCACGUUAAGCGCUAAUUAUAGUUUAAUUAUAGUUUAAUAUGCUAUGAAAUGCGCGAAUUCUUCCUAUUCUAAAAGCUCAAACUUGGUGGGACAAAUUUGCUACGUGGUGGCCACCAGGUACAAUCUCGGAUUAACACUUUUGACGAUGCCUAAAAAAAGCCUGAUUGAUAGGUUGGAAGGUUAUCCUUUAUAAAGGCUGUAGGUGUUCCCAGUUUUGUGGAAGCUUUGUGCUUCUUGUUCGGCAUUAUGCACCACACCGUGGGUGCCGCUCAAAGGUGCUGCAAGCCUUGCAAGCCUUUCCAGGUUGCAGAAGUAAUGAUGCAUAGCAGCAAUGAACCGGAACCACCAAACGCAACCUGUUUCCUGGCCCAUCGCGAUUGUAUCCAUAUGAGGAACAUUGAUGUUUGGCCCGCUCGCUGUUGACAACCGGAAUGGCGUCAUUGUCGUCGGCUGGCUGCAGCAUUGCAUCCACAUUGCCUACGACCCCUACACCGUCUUCAUUAACGUCGCUAAUGGCUUCAGUGAAAUUUAGUAUCUGCUUUAAUGGCCUUCAAUGCUUUGGGAGCUUCGGGUCCGAAUGUUUUGCAGCGUUUGGUCCGGUCAGAAACAGUCCGAUUCCUCGUUGACUUUUGGGCGUGAGCUUCCUAACAGUAUCCAUGGCAUUAAAGUACUAUGAUAUGGGUAACAUGUAUGUCUCCUGUAAGAUUCUAGCGGCUUUGGCAUGGACAGUCCAUUUUUGGCUGGAGGAAAAACGGUUGGAACAUUAUUUAUUCUUAACUUUCAGGACCACGAACAUUUUUUAUUCCGAAUUCGGAAUAUAUUCCGCAAAAAAAUAACGCUGCCUCAUGAUGGCCACUUUCGCCUCGCCUUUCACGUUUCUUCUACACGCUGGCGUUCAUAUUCUUCUCACGGAGUUGAUCUCCUACGUAAAGGCUAUGGAGCACCUGGACCGUUCGGGCGAGCCCUUUUGAGGCAAUAUUUCCGAACUCAAGAUGGGCCCACCCUGCCCGUGUCAGGCAUUCGUCGCGUUUCGCGUUUCGCGUGUGCUGUGGUCCGUUUGGGGCGGAGGUUCGCAUCCGGUUUUGCCCACUUUAGGCAACCCGCACAUUCACCGGCUCAGGAUCAGUGAUUUUUUUUUCAUUUAGGGGGGGUCUCAAUUUAUUCCAACCUAAGUAACAAAGUUGCUAGCGUCACCGUAAUGUAUUCCUUGGGGGCGCUGGGGGACCCCCCAGACCCCCCCCCAUAAUUUACAACUCCCCUCAUAGACAAAGAGGCACGCACUGCGUUGGCGCGUUUUCGUUCAUGUGCGCACUCUUCAUGCACAUGCAUACAUAGUUCUGGCAUUGUUUGUGAACAAAAAGUAAAUCCGACAAAGCAAAGGCCCAAAGCAAGCAACCGCAUAGCAAAUCACAGGCCGUCACCCGCCACUGCAAACCACAGCACACUAGGACUCUACCGGUUCAUCAUGUACCGGCCCCUGCUGCUGCUGUCCAGCCACUCCCUCAGUGCGUCACGGAACGGGAACGUGCCCAGGUCGAACAGGUCCUGGGUAAACAUCCGCACACAUAAUGCUAGGUGCGGGUUGGGCGCCUCGCCGCAUUCGUUGUUGUCGAGCUGAUUGGGUGACAGCUUGCGCUUAUGCUGAUCACAACCGCCAUGGAAGGCAGGGGUAAUGGCGCCCGUGUCAUCGGUCGCCGCUGGCAGCAACACCAUUGCCGAUGCAUUACCGACAACAGCACCGCCGUCCCAAACGUCUUUAUCAGGAAAAAAAUCAGGCUUAUCUUGCUGUUUUGGUGUUUGUUAAGCAGCCUCUCGCACAAAUGUGUCCGGUCGUACUUCGCGAAUAAAAGGUCCGUACAUGACGCCCCAAAAGCCAGGAGCGAAUUUUACCGCGCAGAUGCGCGCGUGCGAUUCUCCAAAUGCGCCUGUACAAGUGUAUAUAAAUUUUCUUGGCGGAAAAGGACCAGGUGCGCCAGCGCAUUGCGCAGGUGGGCAUGUUGGCCAUAGUCGCACCCGGCAUACAGGCUGGACUAUUGCGUGGCUGCUUUGCAGUAUCUGAAAGCACCAAAAGCCUACGUCGUAGCUUGCAACACUGGGCUCGUGAAACUGCCGCAAGAAGAUGAAGCGCUGGCGAAGAGGCAGUUGUGUGCAGCACCUUGUUCAGAGUAAAGUCAAAUUACAAAGUUGCGCAAAGUAUAACAUACAUAAACUGAAUUAAACAUAAGAACAGAUAAGACGUUUAGAGCCUUGUCGGUGACAUGGACGCCGCUGUUGGCUUGGAACAGCUAUUUGCUGUGCAUAGGGACGUGCCCGCGUUAGCCGUGUUGCAACAGCUCAGGAUGGAUUUCAGCCAGCAACCGCCUGAAGAGCUGCUGCACAACCACCGGGAAUGUCUUCAGUUGAGCACGUGUAGUUUUGGUCGGCGGGGUCGAGCAACGUACGCAAUGCGCACAGAAACCAAGGUGCAGCGCCGCUGCUGCAAGGUGCAGCGCCGCUGCGCAAGGUGCAGCGCGCGCUGUUACAGAACGGCGUUCUGUAACAUCGCCAACAUAUCCGGUACGCGGUGGCAGGCUUGCCGAGCACGAAAUGAAGGGGGGGUCGCAUCUCACCAUUUAACUAAGCAUGCAUGUGCUCGGUUGAAUGCUCGGUAGCGUGCGAGUUUACCCCUAUCAGGAUGUUUGUUUGCAUAUCCCUCCAAGCGAGAGGGCUUGGACCUAUGCUGAUGUUCGUUCCAAGAAGUGAACUGAGGACUGAUGCUACGUUGAAAGAUUUGCACGUCAAUUCGCCCGUGCAAUAAAACGCCCUGUAACUCGCUUACCCUAAUCUCACAUUCCAAUAUGCCACUGCACUUUCCUCUCCAGCCUGGGCACAUUCUCUUCCUCGCAAACGUACUUGGGCACCUUACAAUCCAACACCAUACGGGCUUUGGAAACGCGGGCAGCUGCUUCACAAGGACCCCCCUAUUUCGGCGUUCAAGUCGUUGCCUUUUGCGUGUUUGGCUAUGUAAGUACCGGUCAUACAUUCUGCUAUGCCGCGUUGACUCACGGGCUUGACCUUCUUACGGCCCCUCAUAUCUAUUCUAUGAUCGAUAAUACUAAGUUCUGCACACUACGGAGCAAUCUGGCAGCAAUGGACGUUUUUGGCUGGAGGAAUGAAAAUGUACGGAUCGGCCUCAAUUUGUUCCUUAUUUCCAAAGGCCAAAAUGGCCUCUUUAUUCCUUAAAAGGAAUAUAUUACUUAAAAAAACACUGCUCAGGAUAUCCUGAGUUGGGUGCUUUUACCGUGUUUCGUUGGAACAACAGAGGGCAUUUAGCCCAGUGAUUUAAGUGCGCCUUGGCCUAACUAGCUGGACACUUAGUGCAAGCAAUAGGGCCCCUACAGUGUUGCCUGCUCAGGCCUGCGCCUGCUAUAUAUAUGUAUAUAUAUUUUGUAUAUCUACAAUCGGCGGAUGGCCCCCGGAUACAAUCGGCGGAUUUACGUUAUUGCCCGUGGGCCAUCCGCCGAUUGGCAUAAUAAUGAUAUGUAAUAUUACAUUAUUAAUAAUGUAAUUAUUCGCCACGUCAUUAUUAUGCCAUUAUUCGCCUGUUUUAGGUCUUAUCGUCUAUAAAUUUUGCAGUCGUGCAAUAGGUAGGCACCGUCCCUACCUAUUAUUAUACUGUGCUAGGGCGGCGCGGUCUACAUAUAGACGAUUGAAAAUUGCAGACGUUAAGUCCAUAUUCAGGAUUAUUGCCAGAACUGGACUGCGGGUAGACUCCGCCUGUGCUUUCUAGCUGCUGCUGUGUGCCGUCGAAACCGACAUGCACGCGGCUCUGCGCCACGCACCCGCUAACGCUCGCUUGACGGACUAAUGUUUUAGAUCGUAGGCGGGGCCGUUGCUGGUGAUGUUAUGGAUAAGUGAGACUGCAUCUGUGGUGUAGACUGAUGACCUCGACUGACGAUUGGUUGAGUAUUAUUGCGACAAGCCUCGCCUAGUGGCGGCGACUGUUGGCCAGCCAAAACUCACCCGAUGCGGCAGAAGCUGCUGCUGCAUGCGUAUGUCUUCUUGGUAUCUUCAAGAUACCAAACAAGUUGUUCGUUAUGCUUAGCGGGUUGCGGUGUUGCUGAUUGCCUGCUGGUAGGUUCGCCCGCAUAUGACACACACAAUCUGGUCUGGUCUGGGUUGACACUACUGCAAUUAGCGGUUUAAGGUUCUGGGUUCGAUUCCUGGGGAGACCCCCGAAUUAGUCGGGAGCGCGAGAUUAUGGCUAGCUGCUGAGAUGCGGAGUUGAGGUCACAGUUGAUGGACCAGAUUCGCACGCUGGAUUGGUGGCGAUUGCCGAACCCUCCGUCUCUUCGGGUGUUCGGGUGAAUGGAUGAGGAGGGGUCCCCGAAGGCUGGAUCCGCCGCCUUGGACUUACAGUUCGUAUGGCGAAGUACAGUGUGGUAGUGGUGGAUGGUGCUAUAAGGUGAUAAAUGAUCUAGAACUGACAAUGUGAUAAAGCGGCCCAGAAGCUUCCCACUCUGUAACAUUACAUUACAUUACAUUACACACAAUCUUACUGCUUGCCGACUACCCUAUGGCAUAAAAUGGGGGGCAACACUCCCUUAAGGUUUACCCUGCGGGUGGGGGUAGGGGUAAGUGGUUUCCCAUGUGGGUAUGUACGAAGGGAGGUGGGUAAAACCUAACCCCGGGGUCGGGUUAACCCCUUACCGAGGGGUAACAGAGGGGUCGGGGUGAUACGCUACCGGGGGGUGACAGACAGAGUAGCCCACUUUCACGCGUGUGUCUCGACCGAACCCGGAAGCUCCCGGGGGGGGCAUGUGCUGGUGUCAAUGUGUUGUAGGGUGUCCCCCCUGUCUACAUGUGCAUGCACAGCUGUCUCACCCGUCUUUGUGAGCACGUAUGCCUGUCUCGCCUGUCUACACAUGCAAACAUACAUGUCCACCAAUCACUUGUGAGUGCACAAUUGUCGACAUUGCCAAGGCUGCGGUCCGGCCGUCGUGGGAAGAUAAGCGGGAAAGCACGGCAGGGCAGGCGUCAGGAAUGUGUCGUGCCUAGGCCUGCUUGCACUUAGCUGUGCCUACUGCAAGGCCGCUCCAUGUCAACUCACUCGGUCAGUCGCUGCGAGGACAUUAAACUUGCUGGCUUCACUUUGCGAGUUCAUCGGCUUAAAGAUGUCGAAGAAGGCCUCAGGCGCGCAGGCGGCCACAUUCACGGCCGAAGUCUGUGUUCUGUCACUGCAUGCAGUGUCUUGUAGCUGAAGCAGACUGUCCGGAUAAAGUGCUUUCUUUUCUUGCCAGAUUUAUUGCUCAAUGCCCAGUCGGUAUUGUCUUUCAGCACAAUGGCUUUGCGCGUGUGUUGCCAGCAUUAGAGACCUUGAAAUGGCGAACGAUGCUUCCUGAGAUACCAAGACAUGUACAUUUACAAAAAAAAUAUCUUAGGUGGAAUUCACAAGUUGGGCAACAAAUAAGACGAGUAGGCCCAUGUCCAUAUGGAUGCAUGCUAAUAUUAGCAAGGUGGCGGCACCCAAACGCCGGGGAACUCCAAGGUUUCCGUCGGCUUCCAAGUCGUCUAAUGCUGUAUUUGUUUUUUUUAUUGCAGACUGUAUUUUCAGGCCUAUCGAUUAUACCAAAGCACGGUCUAUAGAACAUUUUCUGUACCAUGAACGAAUCUGCAUGCGAUCUAUUUUUUAGUCCUGUCUAUUAUAUGAUGACCCUGUCUAUAGACGAUUAUAAACUUUACAGCAAGUCUGUGCUAGGCUUGCGGCUGAAUACAGCAGUGUUACUUAUUACCUUCCAAGCUUAUUAGCUUCCAUCCGUAGCUUCCAUCUAGUUUCGAAGCUCCCUGCUGCUGGAACGGUUCGUAAAACGGCGGCUGGUAACAUUAUCAUCAUCAUCAGCAGCAGCAGCAAUCAUCGUCGUAGUGCGUGACAGUAACGAAGUACAACACCUUAUCCACACCUUCUAUCUGCAGGGUUGUACAAUCGCUGAACAAAUGUAUGGCGAAUAUUCCCGGCUAUUUCAUUUUGUUCGCAUAAACGAGCGAACGGCAGGAAUUUGUAUAUAGACAAAUAUUUCACACAACAAAAAUGCAGGCGCGGCUUUUUCCCAAGCCAUUUCGGCGGCGAUUGCGAGGUUGUAUACGAGCGCAUUCAGCAGCAGCAGUAUUACGCUAUUUGGCUGUCGCAGCAGUUUCAGCCUAAAGAGUAAACAAGUGCAGUAAGCGCGUUAAGUGUAACGUUCAUUAAUGUGAACCAGCAGCAGGGCGGCUGCAAAUGCGAUAACAAAUGCAACUGCUGCCCGUCGCCGCCGCCGCCGCCGUAAGUCAUCAUCCGCAGAAGGUGUAGCUAGAAGGUGGAACACAUUGCUAGCUGCUGUAGCUGCGACGGAGGUUUUACCAAGCUUCGCUGUUACCACGACUGCUUAGGGUAACGGCACACGGCGGAUGUCUCCCUUCAGGAUGUAAACAGCGGUAGAGGAAUAAUAAUAAAUAUUCACUGGUGAACGGCGGUCCUGAAUGGUCAGCAACAGUGAACGGCUGGAUAAAGGGCCAGUGAACGUUCACCGCCGCCCACUGUUCACUGAACGUUUGGAAUGUCAUGCCUGAAGCCUGCGGGCACCGCCGUGGAAGUGAAGUGAAUGUGGAAGUGCCCAGAAAGUGCCCGGACACAAAGCCAGGAUUGGGCGGUAUGUAACAUGCUUUCAAGUUCACGUUGUACUACUACAUUGUUCACCAUACAUGCCGCUACUGUAGGUCUUUUAGGUUCUCGUUACGGCUACCCGGCAUGCGGCCGCAUGCAUGUUGUUGUUGUUGUUGUUGUUACAUGGUCGUGGGUGCGUUCCCCGUACCUGCAAACCACCCUAGUACGAGCCGAGGGCUCAAGGGCUGCCAAAUCGCCUAUAAGCACCAUCCUACCUCGCACUUCCAACGAAACAAGUAAUGAAGUAUACUAACGACCAAAGGGAACGAUAGAGUUGCGGUGAGACCAUAUACGUUCCAGCAUUCUUGCCAGGCGUUCAGGUUCCCACUUCAUAGCGUCCUUCAUAUGUUCGAAGCGUGGAAAGCCCAUAUCAGAUCUGAUUCCGUCGUAAACCGGACAGUCCAGCAAAAUGUGUUUCUCAUCCUCGAUGUGGCUAUCAGUGCCGCAGCAGGGGCAUACUCGCUCCUCCCUAGGUAUAUAACGCCGUCCCUUACGCGCUCUGUUAGCCGCCAGUGCCCAACAGCAAAGCCUAAACUGCAUAAGCUUGCAAUUCGCCGAACGUGGGAUAAACAUUGUGAUGUGCGGGAGCACCUCCUUCCUGCCCGCUUGCUCGGCCGCCGGCCCCAUCCAAUGCUUAUACUUCGCCAUGUGAUUCCUGGUUGUUUGCCGUCUGACGGAUACACGUCAGGCUGGACAUCUAAACGUGUAUGCUUCCAACCACUCACUAAUCGGUCCUUGACUCCGAAAUCACACCUUCUGGCAUUGGCUUGUUCAUCAGCCACNNNNNNNNNNNNNNNNNNNNNNNNNNNNNNNNNNNNNNNNNNNNNNNNNNNNNNNNNNNNNNNNNNNNNNNNNNNNNNNNNNNNNNNNNNNNNNNNNNNNNNNNNNNNNNNNNNNNNNNNNNNNNNNNNNNNNNNNNNNNNNNNNNNNNNNNNNNNNNNNNNNNNNNNNNNNNNNNNNNNNNNNNNNNNNNNNNNNNNNNNNNNNNNNNNNNNNNNNNNNNNNNNNNNNNNNNNNNNNNNNNNNNNNNNNNNNNNNNNNNNNNNNNNNNNNNNNNNNNNNNNNNCCCCGGUAUUAAUACCGUCGUGCAUAUCGAUGACGUCCGCGAGGGUUUCAAUGUAGAGCCCAAACAGCUCAGUUGAUAGUGGACAGCCUUGUUUCACACCCUGUUUUGACUCAAAUUCACCUCCAGCUUUGCCAUUCGUCUUGAUGACCAUCGUAACCUUAUCAUACGCCCGCAUCAGCGACUGCAGCAUGGACCCUUCAACCCCUCUCUCUUGCAAGCGAAGCCACAUUAUCUCCCGCGGCACCUUGUCAAACGCCUUCUCAAAGUCAAUUUGCACGAUGAUUAACGGCCGCUGUCCCGGUUGGCUGUGCCUAGUAGUAAGGUACUGCUUGGCAAAGAGAUGGUGUGUAGUACCGAAACCUCUUCUGAAACCCGCUUGGCCUCGAUGCCUAAGUGAGAGCGUCUCCCCUGUGCGAACGAGCCUAUCCAGGAGGACCAGUGCAUAACAUUUCGCCAAAGCGCCCCCUACUGCUAUGCCCCGGUAGUUACUCGGCAUGCUGGGGUCCCCCUUCUUGUAAAUAGGGGUGAGGACGGUAGUUGUAAACUGCCGUGGGAAGUCCCCAGUCGCCCUGAUAUGCUCCAGAAGCACGUGCAGUACCGGAACAAGCUGAUUCACUUCCCCCCGUCGCCUGCCCCCACCAUUACCCGACGCGGAGUCUUCUUCCUCUCGGGGCAAACGCGCAUAGCGGUAACAUUCCGACGGCGCUACUUCCAAACCUGGUGCCUUACUGUUAGGCAGCCGGUCAACAGCACGUGCGACUUCCUCCAGCGUGAGAGGGGGUUCUAGGAUUUCUGCUGCUUUCGCAGUCCUGCCCAAAACCGAGUGGGAUGACCGCCAUUCCUGCCCCUCUAGGAACUGCCCAAAGUUAAUGAAGUUCAAAAGCCGGUUCGCACCAUCAGGCCCUGUCUCCCCUACACCUGCGUUUAAGAGCCCAGCAAAGUGUUCCCUGAAGACCUCAAUAUCAUCUAUCGCACAUCGCUCUCUCAACUUCCCUCCUAAAGCCCGCCACAAAGCUCGUUGGUCUUGCCGACAUUUGGCCACAAACUCUCUCAUCCUAUCCUCCUCAUAUGCCGCCCUUGCGUGUCUUUUUGCCCGGUUAUAAUCCGUCCGCGCAUGGCGGAAAGCCUCCCAUUCCGGACCCGAUUUAUUACUCACCCGGCCUGGACCCAGAUGUGCUCUGCUCUCCAACAUGCGUUGCCGUGUUUGUUGACAUUCCCGGUUCCACCAAACCGUAUUCCCACCUGCCGUCAUGCCGGUAGGUCGGUGGGUAUCGAAGGCCCUCACCAGGACUUUGUACAGGGCACCUCCAAUGCGUUCGACAGCUUGUGUGGUAUUGCAAACUCCCCUCUGCAGGUCCUCGGCCACUUGGCUUAAGGCAUUCAUAGUAGGGGACCCCCCCUCAAAAUAUUCCGCAUAAUCCUGGUAUCGUGCAAUAUCAAACUCCACCCGGGCUUUCCGGCCUUUACCGUCCCUACACCUGCUUUCGUCAUCCACUGUAACAUUAAGAACAAGCGUCAAAGGACGGUGGUCGGUGGGCUCCCAUCCAUCCAACUCGAUCAGGUUCCCUACCCUCAGAAAGGUGGCGUACUGCUGAAGCACACGCGGAGUCGCUAUGAAUAAAUCGAUCAUACUACCGCCUGCCUCCCCCUUAGGGAAAGUUAGGCGGCCUUCUGGGUCCCCUCUUAUCCGGCCGUUCAUCACGAGCAGUCCCUCGGAUCUGCAGAGCGCCCCAAGCUGGGCACCAAAGAAAUUGCAAACUUGGUCCUGGCACUUUCGAUUUCCGAGUCCAUCAUAAUUCUGGUGGUCCCUCAGUCCUUCAAAACCCAUGACCUCGCAUACGGCUUGUGACUGCUCUAAAUCCGGGAUGUCAUUCACGCAUGCAUGUAACCGGCGCCACGCAAUUUAAAAUAUUACGUUCUUUAGCCACGGGAUCAAGUCGCAUGCCAUAAUGUUCUGAAAUGUAAAACGCGUCUUACAGUUCUAGCGUAAAAAGUGUUUUCGGUUAUCAGCUACUACAAGCAUUAACUUCCAGUUUUUAGCAGUAAAUGAUUUAAUUGGUGUAUCGUUUUACCUAGACAGAACGGGCAGUCACUUUGCGUUUCUCGAACGCUGGCGCCGAGCCGCCCGCCGCCAAACAACGUGCUGGAUGCGUUACGUCAUCAGCUUCUUGGUGAACACCGGGGGCCUCCCAUAGCGGGUGGGUCGAGUAAGCGACCUUCGGCGGUCCUUCCGGGCCUUUUGCGAUUGCCAUACUAUAUAUGUUGGCCAAGUUCCGAAAGGUAUAAGUGAGCUAGGUGUGCCUGCAGCUAAUGCAUGUUCUCCUCGACUAGUUCUACCUUGCAAGCCACUCCCUUUGGAGCCUGCCUGCUGCUGCCAAACAGGCAUUCAGUCGGCUUGGAUUAGUUUACGCCGGUAAGCUCUUAGCAGGCUUCGAGGGCCGCUGCCAUGUCUAAAACAUCUAGUUCGUUCUGUUCUAACAUCUAGUUCUAGCUACUGUAUGUGCUGUUCAUGACCGGACAUACACGCAUGCCUCCUUCCUUGCUUCCUCGUUCGUGCCAGCAGGCAAAAUAAUUUGGGACUGAGAAACUGCUGAGAUCUCGCAUUGUUUAUUGCAAAGCAAGUUUUGCCACAUCAAAGAAAAGAGAAUGAGGUACGGCUUGGGCUAUGCAGCAGCUACAAAAGUUCGGUGGCAGGAUUAAUGGGCGAGGGCUUGCACGGGACGACGCCUGGAACUGGGUUGCUUAAAUGGGUAGGGUUGGGGGGUAGAAGCAAAACGGGUGCAUGUGGGAGGCAUCAAUGCAUGUCCAUACUCGCCGGUAGGACUUUUGGUCUAUAGAUCGUGCCCUGGCAUAUGAGAUAGGGACAUUAGUUCAUUCUAUUGUAUCAGGUUGGGAUCUACAGACAAUUAAAGGUUUACAGACUUGCAUACAUACAUACACACUAAGUUGAGGCGCUGUUGAUCUGCUAGAUUUGGUUGGAUGCUGGUGGUGAGUUGCUGAACCCAACGAAUACAUUCUGAAGUCGGAUGGGGUGAACGGAUUAGGGUGCAACUCUAGCAGGGAGAGCAGGGAACUGCCUCGGGAAAGGGGGCCGCUGGUGAAGCUUAACCACCCUGUAACGACAUACAUACACAGGCAGGCGGCUGGCAGAGGUUAAGGCCUGACUUCUGCUCCCAGUCGACCCAGUCGACCCGGGUUCAAAUCCGCCUGCCGGCUCCUCGGGUGUUUGAGGGGUGAUGAAAUGUGAGGUGGCCCCCCAUCAUAUGGACGGUGUAGGACGUGAUAAUAUCAACUUGCGAGCUGACCAGGAACUAAGUUGAUGCGCCGUUGAUCCGCUAGAUUUGGUUGGAUGCUGGUGGUGAGUUGCCGAACCAACGAAUACAUUCUGAAGUCGGAUGGGGUAACGGAUUAGGGUGCCCCUCUAGCAGGGGAGAGCAGGGACUGCCCCGGGAAAGGGGGCCGCUGGCGAAGUUAACCACCCUGUAACAACAUACAUACAUACACAGGCACCGUCGGUCUGCAUGUAUGUUGAGAGGCAUCUAUAUCACGACACCAGUUGC